GGCCAUCCAGAUCUUAAUUGGUUUCAUACACAUUGGCUUUGGGAGUGUCUCAGCUGUUCUUUGUACCUGGAUAUCAACUCUUGCUACUACUUUAGGUUACCCAUUCUGGGGUGGACUAUUUUUCAUUAUUUCUGGAUCCCUGUCAGUGUUAGCUGAGAAACGUGCAACUCCCUGUCUGGUGCGAGGCAGCGUAGGAAUGAAUAUCACAAGUGCUGUAAUGGCAUUAGUUGGCAUCAUUCUGUAUUUGGUAGGGCUGUCUG